rnacentral:rRNA from 1 species
AGCAGCCGCGGUAAUUCCAGCUCCAAUAGCGUAUAUUAAAGUUGUUGCAGUUAAAAAGCUCGUAGUUGAAUUUCGGGAUCAAGUCGUCGGUCGUGCUCAGGUACGUACUGGCGUCAUUGAUUUCUCCCUUCUGACGAACCAUGAUGUCAUUAACUUGGUGUCAUGGGAAAUCAGGACUGUUACUUUGAAAAAAUUAGAGUGUUUAAAGCAGGCUCACGCUUGAAUACAUUAGCAUGGAAUAAUGAAAUAGGACGUUCGAUCCUAUUUUGUUGGUUUUAGGAUCAACAUAAUGAUUAAUAGGGAUAGUUGGGGGCGAUUAGUAUUCAAUUGUCAGAGGUGAAAUUCUUGGAUUUAUUGAAGACUAACUACUGCGAAAGCAUUUGCCAAGGAUGUUUUCAUUAAUCAAGAACGAAAGUUAGGGGAUCGAAGACGAUCAGAUACCGUCGUAGUCUUAACCAUAAACUAUGCCGACUAGGGAUCGGAUGA